UUGUGUAAAAGUCAAAAAGAGACAAAUUAUUGUUAAUAAUUUAAAUGAAUUUUAUAUUCUUACCCA
rnacentral:tRNA from 1 species